rnacentral:rRNA from 1 species
CACGGGAGACACACGGCGGGUGCUAAUGUCCGUCGUGAAGAGGGAAACAACCCAGACCGCCAGCUAAGGUCCCAAAGUCAUGGUUAAGUGGGAAACGAUGUGGGAAGGCCCAGACAGCCAGGAUGUUGGCUUAGAAGCAGCCAUCAUUUAAAGAAAGCGUAAUAGCUCACUGGUCGAGUCGGCCUGCGCGGAAGAUGUAACGGGGCUAAACCAUGCACCGAAGCUGCGGCAGCGACACCGUGUGUUGUUGGGUAGGGGAGCGUUCUGUAAGCCUGUGAAGGUGUGCUGUGAGGCAUGCUGGAGGUAUCAGAAGUGCGAAUGCUGACAUAAGUAACGAUAAAGCGGGUGAAAAGCCCGCUCGCCGGAAGACCAAGGGUUCCUGUCCAACGUUAAUCGGGGCAGGGUGAGUCGACCCCUAAGGCGAGGCCGAAAGGCGUAGUCGAUGGGAAACGGGUUAAUANAAUUCGAUGCAACGCGAAGAACCUUACCUGGUCUUGACAUCCACAGAACUUUCCAGAGAUGGAUUGGUGCCUUCGGGAACUGUGAGACAGGUGCUGCAUGGCUGUCGUCAGCUCGUGUUGUGAAAUGUUGGGUUAAGUCCCGCAACGAGCGCAACCCUUAUCCUUUGUUGCCAGCGGUCCGGCCGGGAACUCAAAGGAGACUGCCAGUGAUAAACUGGAGGAAGGUGGGGAUGACGUCAAGUCAUCAUGGCCCUUACGACCAGGGCUACACACGUGCUACAAUGGCGCAUACAAAGAGAAGCGACCUCGCGAGAGCAAGCGGACCUCAUAAAGUGCGUCGUAGUCCGGAUUGGAGUCUGCAACUCGACUCCAUGAAGUCGGAAUCGCUAGUAAUCGUGGAUCAGAAUGCCACGGUGAAUACGUUCCCGGGCCUUGUACACACCGCCCGUCACACCAUGGGAGUGGGUUGCAAAAGAAGUAGGUAGCUUAACCUUCGGGGGGGCGCUUACCACUUUGUGAUUCAUGACUGGGGUGAAGUCGUAACAAGGUAACCGUAGGGGAACCUGCGGUUG